GUUUCCGUAGGUGAACUUGUGGAAGGAUCAUUG
rnacentral:rRNA from 19 species